rnacentral:rRNA from 1 species
AUUGAACGCUGGUGGCAGGCCUAACACAUGCAAGUCGAGCGAGCGGCGGACGGGUGCGUAAUGUAUGGGGACUGCCCGCUAGAGGGGGAUAACUACUGGAAACGGUGGCUAAUACCGCAUACUAUCGGAUAACCCAUAUGGGAUUAGCUAGUAGGGUGGGUAAAGGCUCACCUAGGCGACGAUCUCUAGCUGGUCUGAGAGGGUGACCGGCCACAUUGGAACUGAGACGCGGCCCAGACUCCUACGGAGGCAGCAGUGGGGAAUCUUCCGCAAGGGACGAAAGUCUGACGGAGCAACGCCGCGUGAGUGAUGACGGCCUUCGGGUUGUAAAGUACUUUCAGCGAGGAGGCGUUACUCGCAGAAGAAGCACCGGCUAACUCCGUGCCAGCAGCCGCGGUAAUAC